rnacentral:ribozyme from 1 species
AAAUACAAUACACAAAUCACAGCAACGAAUGAAACAACAACAACAACAGCAAUCGAAACAUCAAUUUGGACGCAAGAAUUUCAAUCGUAUACUACUUCUCUUGUCAUUCUCUUCGUUUUUUGUUUCUCUUCAUCCAUUGCUUGCAAAUGCUAAAA